rnacentral:misc_RNA from 1 species
GAAAUGCGAUAAGUAAUGUGAAUUGCAGAAUUCAGUGAAUCAUCGAAUCUUUGAACGCACAUUGCGCCCCUUGGUAUUCCGGGGGGCAUGCCUGUUCGAGCGUCAUUAUAACCCUCAAGCCUAGCUUGGUGUUGGAGCAUGUCUACGGGCAGCUCUUAAAAUCAGUGGCAGUGCCUUUCGGCUCUAAGCGUAGUAAUUUUUCUCGCUACAGAGUUCGGAGGUGUACGCGCCAGAACCCCCAAUUUUCUAUGGUUGACCUCGGAUCAGGUAGGGAUACCCGCUGAACUUAA